GGGGCGACACUAAGGCCCCGCCAGGCGCAAGCCCUCUGGUGCUUCGCCACUGAGAAAGCGCUGGGAGCUGGGGUGCGCGGUGACUGUAAACAGGGACCCUUGGCAGCACCGAAGAGCUGCCCGGCGCAGGCCCAGCGAUCAGGGCUGUGCGCCCGCCUCGCGCCUGGCGGGGGCAGGCCGGGCCUCCCUGCGGCCGGCAUCUUGGGCUCACGUAAGAGAACCCGGAGAGCUGCAUUAAAUAGAAUUGCUGGUGGCCAUGCACGAGCAGGUACAAUUGAGAUGAAACAGAACCUAUGCUGAGGACUUCGCCACCAAAGAGGAAAAGUCCACGUAGUGAUUGCCACAGGUCAGUGCUGGAUUAAAGCAAGAGAGAAGAGGCUUGGGCACCCCAAUAAUAGAACUACUCAUACUCAUUGUUAC
rnacentral:lncRNA from 1 species